UCUUAGAGAGGUCUUUGUCUUUGUGAAAAUUGGGAACUCAAGUCGAGAUGGCUAAUACAACAAAAUCAGAUUUGCCGAUGACUCGCAGUUUAACCGACUUUGGUGUCCAUCUUAUAGAGCUUCACCCACCAUCCGAUGACCAUGGAAACAACAAAGGACUAAAUACUAUUUCACAGGCAAAGCAUUCAGAAGAUGGCAAUAGCCACCAUACAUGGAUUUGGCAGCUGGUGACGUAGACUGAAAAAUCCAUUACUCCUGCUAUCACCAGGAUGCAAGAGCCUGCAUACAUGAUACAU
rnacentral:lncRNA from 1 species